rnacentral:rRNA from 1 species
GAUGAACGCUAGCGGUAUGCUUAACACAUGCAAGUCGUACGGGAAGUUUUUAACUCAAAGUGGCGGACGGGUGAGUAACACGUGAGAAUUUACCUUUAGGAGGGGGAUAACAAUUGGAAACGAUUGCUAAAUACCCCCAUAUGCUUUUUUAAGUGAAACGGAUUUAUUCGCCUAAAAGAAAAGCUCGCGGCUGAUUAGCUAGUUGGUAAGGUAAUGGCUUACCAAGGCGACGAUCAGUAUCUGGUUUGAGAGGAUGAUCAGACACACUGGAACUGAGACACGGUCCAGACUCCUACGGGAGCAGCAAGUGGGGAAUUUUCCGCAAAUGGGCGAAAGCCUGACGGAGC